CUUGGAGAAGGCUCCACCCUCCCUAACUAAGGGUCAAUGUCUGAAGGUCAAGCAAAAGGAACAAAGUGAAACAAAUACCAGUAAAAUGAGAGGAAAAAUCUUCUCCUCUUGUUUGGCAAAGCUUGGACUAGAAAUGGCCCCUCUGGCAAAGAUUUCUUGGGGCCUAAAGUCAACUAGUGAUGCCCACAGUCUAUGAACAAAGUAUAUUCUGUUCAUAGGCCCAUAGUCAGUGCCUAGCCAGUCCAGCUAGGUACUUGGUUAUUUGAAGUUUCACAGCCUUUUUGUAUUUAUCAUUUGGAUCCUGACAGCCUUAGAGGAGCUGUUUCCUUCCAGCAGAGAAUUGUUGCAGACAACACGGACCUCUGGUUGAAGGAGAUGAUGG
ensembl:lncRNA